rnacentral:tRNA from 1 species
GCAUAUAUAGUAUAAGUAAGAUACAUUAGGUUUAGGUCCUAAAGAUUCAAUUUAUGCU